rnacentral:lncRNA from 1 species
GCAACAGAAGACAUUUCUUUCACUAUUUGGGCCAAACUGAAAUAAUCCUCAUGACUCUUGGCCAGCAGAAGGCACAGAACAGAUCUAAGAUCCUGAUGUAAACCUGCCUAGCUGGAAUUUCUCCAAGUGUCUGUCAUUGAGGAAGGAUACUGCAGAAUCAACCUAGACUGGAAAGUCAGGCUGUAGCUUGGAGUGAGUAAAAGGAGAAAAGGGUAACCUGCAGCCG